GUCAGAAUGUUUAUCUUGAUGAAAUCUGGGUUGGAAUUGUAUUUGGGUCAUCUGAGGUCAAAAACUAGGUCACUAGGUCAAAUAAUAGAAAAACCGUCAACAAUUUGUUUGUGUAGACAGUAGAGGUCACAGUUUUCAUCCAAUCUUUAUGAAAUUUGGUCAGAAUGUUUAUCUUGAUGAAAUCUGGGUUGGGAUUGUAUUUGGGUCAUCUGGGGUCAAAAACUAGGUCACUAGGUCAAAUAAUAGAAAAACCGUGUGUAGACAAUAGAGGUCACAGUUUUCAUCCAAUCUUUAUAAAAUUUGAUCAGAAUGUUUAUCUUGAUGAAAUCUGGGUUGGGAU